AAAGUUUCAAAAAUUAAACUUCUAACUUAAUAAAAGCGAAUUCGUUAAACUUUU
rnacentral:tRNA from 1 species